UACCAGUCCAGUCUGUGCUACUACUCCAGCAGGGCAGCAGCUCUGCUCCGCAUAAGCACAUCCGGAGGAGCACAGGGAUUCCCCGCAGCUUCCUGUUGGAGGUGGACGACCCAAACCGAAAGGGAGUCAUGAUGGACGGCAGCGGCAAAUACGUCAUUCCCAUCAUAGACGCUGAGGCCUAUGCUGCUGAGAAGAAAAAGAGGCCUUCCUUCUUCCA